rnacentral:pre_miRNA from 1 species
AAAGUACUCCCUCCGUCCCAAAAUUCUUGUCUUAGAUUUGUCUAGAUACGGAUGUAUCAAGUCACAUUUUAGUAUUAGAUACAUCCGUAUCUA